GACCCGGCCAAGCUCCAAGGUCGAAUUCAUCCAUUUCCCGGCCACUUUCCGAUGAAUUGUCUCGAACCACUACCUGGAAAUACCACCAUAGCCUUCCCUCUUCCACUUCCAUCCAAAAUUUGAAGGAAAUUGGUUGAAAUUUGGUGGAAAAACCACCAUGGGUGCCGCGGGAAAGAUUGUUCGAAAUCCACCAAACCUGAAACAAUUUCAUUCAAUUAUCACAACCAAAACACUCCCCUUAAACCCAGGAACAAAGCCCAAGUAGUGGUGGAGGCGUCAGAACACGUUUGGAGGUCGAAUUGAAACACACCCAUUUAUAAGGUUCUGACGGGUUUUGAUGAAAUUGGAGCAUUUCCAGGUCAAAUUGGCCUUGGUCACAUGUAUGAAAGUUGUUCUACUCAUUGAGAUCUUCAAAUCUACAAAUUUUGGUAAUUUUUUAGAAAUAGUUGAAUUUUCCAGCGAGCCAGGGCGACUGGUGCGGCGGCGCGUGGCCUAAAGGCAGCCAAUUCUACUUUUAGGCUAUAUGUGAUGUCUUGAAUUCAGUUUUGAGAAGUGAAUGACGUAGAUUGAUUGUUAGAGCCAAAAUUCUCUAAGAUACAUUAAUAGGCCAUUAUAUGAAUUGACGAUCCGACCUUUAGAUCGUCAUCAAACUUUAAUAAAUUAUUAUUCAUAAUAUUUGAGGAAUGUAGGAACUUACGGAUUAGGAAUCUGACGUAUGGAUCUCCUCGAAUUGGAUUUGUAAGUUCGUAAAAUAAAAUGCUAACUGGCACUUAGUUUUGGCAAUUGGCGGAGAUCCGACCGUUGGAUCGUUCCGAAACGUUAGUAUGUUGUUCUAGAAGCAUAAUGUGGAUCCUUGGAAGUUACGGAUCAGAGAUCUGAUUUGUAGAUCUUCUAGACUGAAUUGCGUAGACUUAUGUGUGAUGUAAGUUAUAUAUUAUAUCCACGAGAAUUCUGAGAUAUGGUUUGAUAAUUGGUCACAGGCGCUAAUCGUUAUGACACCUUGAUGUUCGUGCUAAGAAGUUGUAGAGCGGACUCCAGGUGAGUGGAUCUUUCCUUGCUCAUCUUGUGUUUCAUGAUUGAUAAUUCUAUAAAUGCUUUUAAAUAAAACUGAGAACUUAUGCCAUGACAUAUAUAUAUAUAUAUUUAUAUGUUAUAAAAUACUAUGAGAUGGUUGAGUUAGGUUUCAUUGUGAUCUAUCCAUAUGUGUAUUACUAUAAAUGAUUGUUGCGAAAUAUGAAUGGCUUGAUCCCUGUUUAGGGUACGUAGGCAGUUUAAUGAGACGUUAGAUGCAGCCAUAUAAGAAAUGAGAUUAAAUAGUCAAGACCAUAGCCUUGUUUAAGGAAUUGAGCAAUGUGUGUGGACUUUUGGUUUUAAGUAUAUAUGUAUACGCUUGAUGUUUUUCCUGGAAGGCGCAAUUAAAUGAUUUAUGCUUUAAAAAUGCCAUGCCUAUUGAAUAAUGCUUAAACGAUGAGUUGAAUUGUUUGCAUAUAUAUAAUUGUGGUGCUGUGAAUGUUCUGAAGUGCAAAGGUACGCAGGACACACAGGUAAGUUCAGGUAAGUUCAGAUAAAUUCAAGUAAGUAUACGAUAUUAGAUAACUGAUGAGAUAUAUGAUGAGAUAUCGAUAUGUCGUAUAGGUCACUAGAGGUGACUCCGACUAUUAUAUGAUAGCCAUAACUGAUGAGAUAUGUGAUGAGUCGAUAUUAUAGGUCACUAGAGGUGACACCAUGCUCCGGCACUAGUGUACUGAUAAGUCGAUAUUAUACUAUAUAUUUUGAAAAGGGUUAUUGACACUCCAAAAAUCUCAUUCUACACUCCUCACAAGUGUAUUUUUCUUUCCAAAUAUAGAAAGUUUGGAGUGUAGAAUGAGAUUUUUUUAGUGCCAAUAACAAUUCCUUAUAUUUUACCCUAAUCUUAGUAAUAAUUUAUUGGUUAUUAUGUGUGAAUUUUGAUACUUUAAAUUAUAUUUCUAAUGUAAGACAUUCGACUUCCUCUGGUGCAUUGCAUCCAUAACUAGAAGAAAAAAACUCAUCUACCACAGUUGAUGCUUAUGGUAGAUUGCAAUCUACCACGAACAAUGUGCAUGUUAGUAAUUUAGAUGUGAUAAAAAGUCACAAUUUCGACCAUAGGAUAGGGUCGUUGUCUAAUGUGAUGUAACCACAGAUUGUGCCCGUGGUAGAUUGGAAUCUAACACCACAUGCACUAUAGCCGUUGUGGAUUCCAAAUUGACAAUAACCAAUGCCCGUUAUAAAACAAUUCCCAAAAAUAAAUAUUAUAUAUAUAUAUAUAUAUAUAUAUAUAUAAUAUUUAUAUACAAAUUGCAUAAUUACUACAAUGUAAUGAUUACAUAAAAAAUCACAGAUUCAAAAUUAUAGGGUAAAUUACAUAGUAACCCCUCAAGUUUGAAGUCUAUUACAACCUCAUACAACAUCUUAAAAACAUUUCACUUUCAUACCUCAUGUACUAUUUUAUUUCAAAAUAAUACCUCCGUUACAUUUUCCAUCCAUUGAU
rnacentral:lncRNA from 1 species